UUAAUAAUUUGAGUUACAAUAUUUACAAUACUGUGUAUAGUCACCAUAAAUCACUAGUGGUUAGUAUUUAUGAUAAAGGUUUUAUUCCCAAGCAGGUAAAAAACGUUGAUAAAAAUAAACAAUCUACAAAAGGCUCUACUGAACUAAAAUUUAAUACCAAGCAAAUGCAAAUUUUACCAACACAAAAUUCAUUGGGUAUCUCUACUUACCAAAUGUAGAAGAUAAUAAUGACAAUAUGGUAGUAGAUAUUAGUUCAGAUGACGAAAACAACCCCAACUUAUUUACUAAACCGCCUGCUUUAUUAAAUACCGAUAUGGUAUCAUGUUAUGCAAAUAGCAUCGUACAGUCAUUUUUAUGUUUACCUGAAUUUCGCUUUUCCAUUUCAAAGCGAAAUACAGCGCUAAACAGUAUUCUAAAUGAUAUUAUGCUGACCAAAAUUAAUUCCACAUUAAAAGUUCGACAAUUGGUGUCUGGUCGAAAUGGUGAAAAUUUUGCUGUAAAUCAACAAAUGGACGCUCAAUCAUUUUGUCAAUCUUUAAUCAGAAGAUUAGAUGCAGAUGAUUUUAGCAUUUUCAUAAAAGCUAAUGGUCAUGAACUUUUAAAUUGUCAAAACUGUAAUAUUAAUAUGAAUGAAAAUGAACAAAUAAUAUACACUCAUUUUCUUUAUUUUCCUGAAAACUGUGGCAAUUUAAUUGAUUUUAAUUCAAUGUUAAUGCUAAAAGACUCUGAUAGAUUAUGCCCAUACUGUAACAAUAAUCUAAAAACACGCUCAGUGGUUAUAUGCCAUAAAUAUUUGGUAGUAUGUCUUCAGAGAAUUGGCCCUCAAGGGAAUAAGAUAAAUACCAAAUUUUACAAUUUUGCCUCUGAAAGUGUUAUUUUGGAUGAGCAAAUAUUCCGAGUAAAAAGUGUUGUUAAGCAUCAUGGAAACACCAUUGGAUCUGGUCAUUAUACAUCUAUAGUUAAUUAUAACGAUCAAUGGUGGAAAUGUGAUGAUAAUCGCAUAACUAGAAUGUCUGGGUUUGAUAACACUUUAGAAGAUGUAUACUUAUUGCUCUUAGAAAAAUGCUAAAUUUUCUUAAAAUACUAGGACAAACCUAUUUAACAUAAACAAAAUUACAAAUGAGCAAAGUAGUAUUCAAAUAGUAUGAGCAGUGAGUUUUGCAUUGCAAGCAAAUAAAACAUCAGUUUACUCACACUUAUAGCUCAACAUGCAUCCAGGGGUUAUCCGGCCCGACUGUAACCAAAACUCUUGACGCACUUCGAUUCAGAUACUAGGUUAUGAUCUCCCGCCCCCCAAAAGAUUUCACUACGUGAUAUCUUUAUAUAUUAGAGUCAUCUUAUGCGAUAAGUGAUUAAACCUAGCUUAAUGGCCAAUUUGUUAUAAUGCAUGUAAUUACUUAUUGCAAUGGGUGACGGAUUUUUCAUUCGGCGAGGCAACUUUUGCUAUUAAUAAGUCUUGAGGUAUCAAAAGUCGGAGUAUAAAGAUUAGUGAGUGGUAAAUAGUAGAUAAUUGUAGAAGUGCCUUGUGCUAUUGGCAUGGCUUACUAUUAAUCAUUCGCUUUCUCAAUGAAAAUCCCUUUUCUAGUUUUAUAUAUAUUUUUAAAUAUAUAUUUAAAUAUAAAAGUCUCUCUGGGAGAGUAAACUAUACAAUUUCAUAUUUAUCUGUAAAACAUAUAAUUUUGCUAUGUGGCUACUAAGCACAAUUAAUUCUUUAAUUUAUAUUUCAUGGUUUAUUUUCAAUGUGAUAUGGAAAUGUAUGGUUUAUCUGUAAAAAUAGCAAAUCAACAGACCAUGUCUGUUUUGUUUAAAUAUGCUAUAUUAAUUUAAAACAGCAUAACCUCGUAAAAUCAGUUUUCGUUAUAAAUGUUCAUGAUAUAAAUAUGAGAUAUUAUUAUGUUAAUUUAUUAAGAAUUUUUUAGAGAAAGUUGAUGUAAUUAAUUCGCGAUUUACAAAAAACUGAUUUUCGCUCUGACAAGUGCCUCUCAAGUCCUGGAUGAUUCUUAAACAAAUAAAAUUCUUUUUUCAGCAACAUUAUCUUCUGAUUGUGACAAAUGUUUUGUCAUAGUAAUUUAAUAUUUUUUUAUCAUAUAUUCUUUAUUAUAUUGUAUUUAGGAAAUUAAGAUUGAAGACGAUAUUACUACUUUGAUACAACUCUGGUACCGCUCUUUCCAAAAAUAGACUGCCAACCUGUGGAGAAUAUAGAAAAAAGAACCUACGAGAGAAAUAUAUGCCCUAUACCCGCCUCCUCGACACCCUACCCUUAUCCGACGGCUACACAUACUAUAUUAGCAGAGGCCGCCGCAGAAGAAUUUACCAAUACUAGUGUUUCUGAAGAGAGAAAUAAAAUGGAGUAAAAAAUUUCAUAAUUCUAGAUAAUUUUAUAAUUACGUUUUCUCAUUGUUGUCGUAAUAAUUAUUUUCCCUUUCGCUGUCAACUUAUGAAGCCUGAGGUUUGACUAAAAAUUAAAUAAUAGAUUACAAAUAACCAAUUUCGAAUACAGUAGAUUUUAAUUCUUAAUGCUUUUUGUUUGUGAUUCCAAUAUCAAUAUUUUUAUAUUUUGUUAAGAUAUAAUUAUAUAUAAUAUAUACGUGUUAUUA